rnacentral:rRNA from 1 species
CGGCGGACGGGUGAGUAACACGUGGAUAACCUACCUAUAAGACUGGGAUAACUUCGGGAAACCGGAGCUAAUACCGGAUAAUAUUUUGAACCGCAUGGUUCAAUAGUGAAAGACGGUUUUGCUGUCACUUAUAGAUGGAUCCGCGCCGCAUUAGCUAGUUGGUAAGGUAACGGCUUACCAAGGCAACGAUGCGUAGCCGACCUGAGAGGGUGAUCGGCCACACUGGAACUGAGACACGGUCCAG